GACGAACGCUGGCGGCGUGCUUAACACAUGCAAGUCGAACGGAAAGGCCCUGCUUUUGUGGGGUGCUCGAGUGGCGAACGGGUGAGUAACACGUGAGUAACCUGCCCUUGACUUUGGGAUAACUUCAGGAAACUGGGGCUAAUACCGGAUAGGAGCUCCUGCUGCAUGGUGGGGGUUGGAAAGUUUCGGCGGUUGGGGAUGGACUCGCGGCUUAUCAGCUUGUUGGUGGGGUAGUGGCUUACCAAGGCUUUGAAGGGUAGCCUGCCUGAGAGGGUGACCAGCCACAUUGGUACUGAGAUACGGACCAGACGCCUACGGGAGGCAGCAGUGGAGAGUAUUGCACAAUGGGCGGAAGCCUGAUGCAGCAACGCCGCGUGCGUGAUGACGGCCUUCUGGUUGUAAACCGCUUUCGCCGGUGACGAAGCGUGAGUGACGGUAAUGGGUAAAGAAGCAACGGCUAACUACGUG
rnacentral:rRNA from 1 species